CAUAGCCUUCUCUGGACAGGUCCUGAAUGUCUAGUGUCUCUGGAGAAGACCCUGACCCCCUGCCAUCCCCAAAGACCAGAUCCCUCCGUGCGGCUCUUUGCGAAGACCUUUUCUCUUUGUCUUUGAUCUGCCUGCACUUUGCUGUGGGACACUGGACGAGUCACCAUCCUACGGGGAUUGUAAAAAGGGCUUGGUGUCCUCUCGCUCACACUUCGUAACUCCACGACCCUCAUGGCGCACACCAGAGGAAAAUCUUGUUGUGGAAUCCUUCAUCAGUAGUGCUGUGAGCUUCAUAUCAUAUCACACCAGGAGGUAUACAAUCUCUAGACAUCCCGUGGUUAGUGAUGCAUGACCGAUCAAUGAAUUCAGAAGGUGGCAGUCUGAUCUCCUCUCCUCCCCCGCUAUAAAGCUUCCCAUCAACCUUUCACCUAGUGCUUCAUCUAUUGGUGAUCAUGAACUGCUGCAAAAUGUCUGAUUGCAUUUUCCCUGUUGACACGUCCUUGAACAAGGACAAUUCUACAUGACCCUGGCAUUGCCACCUACUCAAACCUUUGAUCUGGAAUGCCACAAAUCUAAGAGAUCUUCUAUCCGGUGACAACAGCUCUUUGCAGACAUUGCAAAGUCCUUUUCUGGUUUAAGCUCUGCCUCUGCCAUGUGUUGUAAUCAGCACAGAAUGACAAGGGGUGAGCAGCAGUGUUAGAACAGAUGUGACACACCUGCAGCCUACCACUGCAGCCUGGCCUUUUUGGAGGAAGUCUUCCCUACUUUCUACCAGCCUGGCAACCUGAACAUAGAACAUGACCACAUGAGUCCAGAAGACCUGAAGAGAAGUGUACAGAUUUGGGUUUUCUUCCCAAAGAAGAAGAGGUGGGCAGGAGAAACUUCUUCCUGCUUGUGGAUGCAGUUGUGCGAGAAUAUAAUUCCCAAAGCAACAACAGCAGCCACUUUGUGACCACGAGGUAACCAACCCAAAUGGAAGCCAAUGUGGUAAGGAAGGCAGAACAAAAUUUGUUUAAUACAGAUUUUUAAUGAUCUUAUUAAGCUCUUCGAACCAAGUUUGGAACUACCUUCCUCAGAAUGAAAAAAACAAAAACAACUGGGAAUUCUGUAUCCGAGAUGCUUGUAGCCCGCCUUUCUAGCAUAGGGUACAUUCACUCCAGCUGGUUUACCUCUUGCUAUCAAAAUACAUAGGGCCUUUGUUGGUUGUUUGGAUUUCCUCUCAGUGUUGUGCAGACCAACAAAAUUUGGGGGUAUAUUAAAGUAAAUAUGCUUUAAAAUUAGUGGUUGCACUGUGUUCUUAUUUAACACAUCCAUUCAGGAAGGAAUAUGAUUAUGAGCAUGGAUUUUGAUCAGAUCGCCUAAAUUUAAAACUCACAUCCACCUCUUACUAAUUUUGGGAUCUAAGGAAAGUUACUAAACACUCUACCUCGGUUCCCUUAUGUGUAAAGUGAGGCUAUUACUGGUAUUUACCAGAAGAGCUGUUAUGAGGCUUUCGUGAGUUAACACAUAAUGUGCUUAGGACAAUGCCUAGGUUAGAGUAGCUGCUCCUUAAAGCUAGCAAUUACAGCCACCCCUCUGCAUCCACAGAUUCUGUAUCCGUAAAUUCAACUGUAGAUCAAAUAUAUAUUUUAAAAAAAGGAUGGUUGCAUCUAUACCGAACAUGUGCAGAUUUUUCUCUUGUCAUUAUUCCCUAAACAAUACAGUCUAACAACUACUUACGUAGCAUUUACGUGGUAUUAGGUAUCAUAAGUAAUCUAGAAACGAUGUAAAAUAUAUUGGAGACUGUGCAGUUUUUUGUUUGGGGGGUUUUUGGGGUUUUUGUAUGUUUCUUUUUUUUUUUU
rnacentral:lncRNA from 1 species